UACGGUAGGGUGCAAGCGUUAAUCGGAAUUACUAGGGCGUAAAGCGCACGCAGGUGGCUGAGUCAGUCGAUUGUGAAAAGCCCUGGGGCUUAACCUGGGAAUUGCAGUCGAUACUACUCAGCUAGAGUAUGGGAGAAGGGUAGUGGAAUUCCUGGUGUAGCAGUGAAAUGGCGUAGAGAUCUGGAGGAACACCGAUGGCGAAGGCAGCCCCCCUGG
rnacentral:rRNA from 1 species